UUGGGGGGGGGGCAUGUGCACGCCCUGAUCACUAUCCAUCUCACACACCUGUGCACACACUGUAGGUUGGCUUGUGAUUGGAGCUACAGUCCUUCAUUGACUUUGCUCUGGUUGGAGGCCCUCCUAUGUAUUAUCACAAACUACUUCAGUUUAAAGAAUGUACUCUUGCGUCUAACGCAUUUAAAUACAACUUUCAGCAACGGAUCUCUUGGCUCUCGCAUCGAUGAAGAACGCAGCGAAAUGCGAUAAGUAAUGUGAAUUGCAGAAUUCAGUGAAUCAUCGAAUCUUUGAACGCACCUUGCGCUCCUUGGUAUUCCGAGGAGCAUGCCUGUUUGAGUGUCAUGGAAUUCUCAACUCUAUUUGCUUUUGUGAAUAGAGCUUGGAUUUGGAGGUUUAUUGCUGGUACUUGUGAUCGGCUCCUCUUGAAUGCAUUAGCUCGAACCUUUGCGGAUCAGCUAUCGGUGUGAUAAUUGUCUACGCCGUUGCAGUGAAGCAUAUCAAUGGGUCGGCUUC
rnacentral:rRNA from 1 species